CGUUGUUGGUGUGGGUGAUCCUAUGCUGCCUAGAAAAGCUUCGUGAGCGAGUUGUUAAGCCGCCCGUACCCUAAACCGACACUGGUGGAUAGGUAGAGAAUACCAAGGCGAUCGAGAUAAUCGUGGUGAAGGAACUCGGCAAAAUACCCCCGUAACUUCGGGAUAAGGGGGACCUGAUCCGUGGCCAUCUUUUCGAUGGGUAGCGGUGAGGGUCGCAGAGACCAGGCCCAAGCGACUGUUUACUAAAAACACAGGUCCGUGCGAAGUUUUAAGACGAUGUAUACGGACUGACUCCUGCCCGGUGCUGGAAGGUUAAGGGGAACUGUUAGCUGUAAGGCGAAGCGGUGAACUUAAGCCCCAGUAAACGGCGGUGGUAACUAUAACCAUCCUAAGGUAGCGAAAUUCCUUGUCGGGUAAGUUCCGACCUGCACGAAUGGAGUAACGAUUUGGGCGCUGUCUCCACCACGAACUCGGCGAAAUUGCACUACGAGUAAAGAUGCUCGUUACGCGCAGCAGGACGGAGAGACCCCGGGACCUUUACUAUAGUUUGGUAUUGGUGAUCGGUACGACUUGUGUAGGAUUGGUGGGAGACUGUGAAGCUUGGACGCUAGUUCAGGUGGAGUCAUUGUUGAAAUACCACUCUGGUCGUUCUGGUUAUCUAACUUCGGACCAUGAUCUGGUUCAGGGACAGUGCCUGAUGGGUAGUUUGACUGGGGCGGUCGCCUCCCAAAAGGUAACGGAGGCGCCCAAAGGUUCCCUCAGCCUGGUUGGCAAUCAGGUGUUGAGUGUAAGUGCACAAGGGAGCUUGACUGUGAGACAGACAUGUCGAGCAGGGACGAAAGUCGGGACUAGUGAUCUGACGGUGGCGUGUGGAAGCGCCGUCACUCAACGGAUAAAAGGUACCCCGGGGAUAACAGGCUGAUCUUGCCCGAGCGUCCAUAGCGACGGCAUGGUUUGGCACCUCGAUGUCGGCUCGUCGCAUCCUGGGGCUGGAGUCGGUCCCAAGGGUUGGGCUGUUCGCCCAUUAAAGCGGCACGCGAGCUGGGUUUAGAACGUCGUGAGACAGUUCGGUCCCUAUCCGCUGCGCGCGUUAGAGUCUUGAGAAGGGCUGUCCUUAGUACGAGAGGACCGGGACGGACUAACCUCUGGUGUGCCAGUUGUUCUGCCAAGAGCACGGCUGGUUGGCUACGUUGGGAAAUGAUAACCGCUGAAAGCAUCUAAGCGGGAAGCAUGCUUCAAGAUGAGGACUCUCACCACCUUGAGUGGGUAAGGCCCCCUAGAGACCAUGGGGUUGAUAGGCCAGAUGUGGAAGCAUAGUAAUAUGUGGAGCUGACUGGUACUAAUAGGCCGAGGGCUUGUCUC
rnacentral:rRNA from 1 species